GACGAAGGAUGCAAGCGUUAUCCGGAUUCAUUGGGUUUAAAGGGUGCGUAGGCGGACUUGUAAGUCAGUGGUGAAAUCUCUCAGCUUAACUGAGAAACUGCCAUUGAUACUGCAGGUCUAGAGUAUAGAUGACGUUGGCGGAAUAUGACGUGUAGUGGUGAAAUACUUAGAUAUGUCAUAGAACACCGAUUGCGAAGGCAGCUAACGAAAACUAUAACUGACGCUGAGGCACGAAAGUGCGGGGAAUCAAAACAGG
rnacentral:rRNA from 1 species